AUGGAGUUGAAGAAUGAAGCAACUGGGCUUGGAUGGGAUGAUGCGAAGAGAACCGUUGAUUGCUCUAAAGAAUGGUGGGAUGAACAUAUCAAGAGAUGCCAAGGGAGUACAGGAAAGAAAUGCAAUCAUAUGAAGUUCAAAAAACAGGGACCAAAGCACCUUGAAGAUUUGCACAUCAUAUUUGACAAAGUACAUGUUACUGGGGCUAGUGCUUCUUGUGCUGGAGAUAUAUCUUCUGAUGAAUCAAGUGGUGAUAAUGCGGUUCCUUUCGAGAAGCCUGAUGGUCGUGCUGAAAUGAAGUUGGCAUCUUCGAAGAAACCAAAACCAAGCAAGAAGCGCAAGCAACCUUCUAACGCAAAUGAGGAGAAGGAAGAGAAGAGUCCAUUCUUACGAUUGUACAAGCAGACAUGCGAGAAAAUAGAAAGUGGAGUGGAGAAGAUAACUUCAAGUGUUGAAGCAUCAUCCGCUCCUCUCACAAACCAUGUUCCCACCAUUUCAGAAGUAAUGAAGAUGGUCAAAGAAUGUGGUGUGAAGGAAAAAACUGCUCUCAUGCACACAACCCUCACUCUUAUAGUGAAGCCCGAGUUUAGGGAAAUCUUCAAUGUUCUUGAAACAAAAGAAGGGAGGUUUGAUUUUUUGGAGAGGGAGCAUGAGAAGGAGAUGUUGAAGCACGUGUAG
rnacentral:rRNA from 1 species